rnacentral:piRNA from 1 species
UAAGUAAAAGAAAGGUAGCUGAGAGAGU